rnacentral:rRNA from 1 species
GCACCAGCUUGCUGGUGUGGAUGAGUGGCGAACGGGUGAGUAACACGUGAGUAACCUGCCCCUGACUUCGGGAUAAGCCCGGGAAACUGGGUCUAAUACCGGAUACGACCCCUGACCGCAUGGUCGGGGGUGGAAAGUUUUUUCGGUUGGGGAUGGGCUCGCGGCCUAUCAGCUUGUUGGUGGGGUGAUGGCCUACCAAGGCGACGACGGGUAGCCGGCCUGAGAGGGCGACCGGCCACACUGGGACUGAGACACGGCCCAGACUCCUACGGGAGGCAGCAGUGGGGAAUAUUGCACAAUGGGGGAAACCCUGAUGCAGCGACGCCGCGUGGGGGAUGACGGCCUUCGGGUUGUAAACCUCUUUCAGUAGGGAAGAAGCCUUCGGGUGACGGUACCUGCAGAAGAAGUACCGGCUAACUACGUGCCAGCAGCCGCGGUAAUACGUAGGGUACAAGCGUUGUCCGGAAUUAUUGGGCGUAAAGAGCUCGUAGGUGGUCUGUCGCGUCUGCUGUGGAAACGCAACGCUCAACGUUGCGCGUGCAGUGGGUACGGGCGGACUGGAGUGCAGUAGGGGAGUCUGGAAUUCCUGGUGUAGCGGUGAAAUGCGCAGAUAUCAGGAGGAACACCGGUGGCGAAGGCGGGACUCUGGGCUGUAACUGACGCUGA